UUGCUUGAUCACGCUGGAAACAGCGGUUAUAUGUUGCCAGAGCAUGCAGUGCACGGCCUUUUCUCCACAAAAUCUGACAUUUUCGGCUUUGGAGUAAUUAUGCUGGAGAUUAUAAGUGGGAAGAAGAACACAACUUUUGUACCGAUCAGAUCAAUCACUUAACCUGCUAGGAUAUGCUUGGGAGACGUGGCAAGAGGGUCAUUGCCUGGACUUAAUGGAUCAAACAUUGGUCGACUCGUGUUUGGAGGAUGAGCUGUCUUAUCCAUUCAGGUGGCUCUUCUUUGCCUUCAGGAAAACCCAAAGGACAGGCCCACCAUGUCCGAUGUUAUUUCAAUGCUGAACAAAGAAAGAACAAAUCUGCCAAUACCAAAACAGCCUGCGUUUUCAACUUUAUGUAUCCUAAAUGUUGAUACUCCCCAAGCGAUGCACUGAUCGCCUACUUCAAAUGAUGUGACUUUAUCUGUGAUUGAAGCUCGAUAACAUCCCAUCUAGCAGCCUGCAUUGAAAGGAGUCAAAAAAGAAUUGGAAGUGUAGCGAGAAACUGGAAAGGAAAGCAGGUUGCAGCAUGGGCCUUGGUGGACAAGAAGCAUGGAAAGUCAAGAGAUAGAUGAUGCUGAAGCAAUCAAAUUAUCUCUUAUCAAACCAACGGAAGAAGGCUGGACAAGAGCACAGGUACAAGCAGAGAGUAACCACCUCGUUGACAAAGAUAAAUUCCUACAGCUGCAAUUCUUUGAAAAUGGCCACAAUCCUAGAAGACAUUGUAGUCCCUAGCUCCUCGUUUGAUUUGUGCUCCUUCGCAUAUACAAAGGAAAAAUGAUAUAGAGUAGAAAUAUAGCAAAUUAUGGUGUAAACUUGCCAAAGCGGAGUGCAAGGUUCAUUUUUCCCUCUGUCUAGCGCAGGAACAGUGCAGGCAUUUUGCCCGAUAUACUGUAAAUCUUUUGUAAUAGUUAUUUAUCACCCAAAAAAAAA